ACCACACCUGGCUAAUUUUGUAUUUUUAGUAGAGACAGGGUUUCUCCAUGUUGGUCGGGCUGGUCUCGACCUCCCGACAUCACGUGAUCUGCCCGCCUCAGCAUCCGAAAGUGCUGGGAUUACAGAUGUGACCUAUCGUGCCCAGCCGCUAAACCUCAUCUUUAAAAAAGAAGAACAAAAUAGAACAUGGACAAGAUGGCUGGGGUCCUGUGGAGUUCUAGUAAUCUUCUUACGAUAAUAAAGCAACCUUAUGCCAUAUGAUAUGCUAAGGAUGGAGGAAGAUAGAGUCUAGGUGCCUGAUGACAACAUGGAGCUGUCAAGCCCUGCAUUGCCUCCCCCUGGACGUCUCAUUAUGGGAGAAAAUGAAGCAAUUUGUUUAAGCCACACUGAUCUUUUUUCCUAUUUUUCUUUUUCUUUUGUUGAGUGUGUGUUUGUGUCUGUUAUUUACAGCUGAUUGUAAGUCAUAACUGAUGUGGUAGUGGGACUGUGUAAGUUUUGUCUUCUGAUGUUUUUCUUUUUUUUUUUCUUCUUCAGUGAAACAGGGAUGGGGAGAUCAUUAGCUAAAUGUAAGGAUUGGGGAAGGAGUGUGGGAGGUUUGUGGAGAGAGAAUGUGUGAAAUGUGGGAAGUUUGUGGAGAGAGAAUUUGUGAAAUAGUUAUCUCUGAAUGGUAGAGUAAAUUAAGUAGGGAGAGGUAGUAGGUCAUUCAGACAUCUGUGGUUGUAAAUAUAAAAUGAGAUCAGUCAUCUGGGUUGUAUUUUUCCCUAGUCAGGUUUACCUGCUCAGGAGAAGGUAUAAACCUGAUAGUGAAUUGGGUUUAACCAGGAUUUAUAUUUUGCUAAAGCCAUUGUGUCACCAUUUGUGAAAUAGAAGAAGAUACUGUAGAGUCACUAAGAAGACAGUUGACUGAAUGGAUUUAUAAAAACAUGUAGCCGGGCACAGUGGCUCAUGCCUGUAAUCCCAGCACUUUGGGAGGCCGAGGCGGGCAGAUCACGAGGUGAGGAGAUCGAGACCAUCUUGGCUAACACGGUGAAACCCCCUCUCUACUAAAGAAAAAAAAAAAAAUUAGCCGGGCGUGGUGGCAGGCGCCUGUAGUCCCAGCUACUCAGAAGGCUGAGGCAGGAGAAUGAUGUGAACCCAGGAGGUGGAGCUUGCAGUGAGCCAAGAUCACGCCACUGCACUACAGCCUGGGUGACAGAGCGAGACUCUGUCUCAAAAAUAAAUAAAUAAAUAAAUAAAAUAAAUAAAAAUAUAUACAAACAUGUAAUUGCUGGCCAGGCAUGGUGGCUCACGCCUGUAAUCCUAGCACUUUGGGAGACUGAGGCGGUGGAUUGCCUGAGCUCAGGAGUUUGAGACCAGCCUGGGCAACACGGUGAAACCCCAUCUCUACUGAAAUACAAAAAAUUAGCCAGGCGUAGUGGCAUGUGCCUUUAGUCCCAGCUACUUGGGAGGCUGAGGCAGGAGAAUUGCUUGAACCUGGGAGGUGGAGGUUGCAGUGAGCCAAGAUCGUGCCACUGCAUUCCAGCCUGGGCAACAGAGUAAGACUCUGUCUCAAAAAAAGAAACAAACAAACAAAAAACAUGUAAUUAAUAAAAGCAGUAGACUUGAAAGCAAAACUUUACACAUAUUUUUUGAAUAGGUAAAGUUCCCAUGGUUCAAACAUUGAAGAGGUAAAAAGAUACACAGACAUACCUUACUUUAUUGCACUUCACUUUACUGAACUUGUUUUGUUUUGUUUUGUUUUUCUUUUGAGACAGUUUCGCUCUUGUUGCCCAGGCUGGAGUACAGUCGUGUGAUCUCGGCUCACUGCAACCUCUGCCUCCUGGGUUCAAUCUCUUCUCCUGCCUCAGCCUCCCAAGUAGCUGGGACUACAGGCACUUGCCACCACGCCCGGCUAAUUUUUGUAUUUUUGGUAGAGACAGUGUUUCACCACGUUGGCCAGGCUGGUCUCGAACUUCUGACCUCAAGUGAUCGGCCUGCCUCGGCCUCCCAAAGUGCUGGGAUUACAGGCUUAAGCCACCGUGCCCGGCCCUUUUUAUUUUUUUUGAGACAGAGUUUCGCUCUUGUUGCCCAGGCUGGAGUGCAAUGACGCAAUCUUGGCUCACCGCAACCUCCGCCUCCCUGGUUCAAGGAUUAUCCUGCCUCAGCCUCCCAAGUAGCUGGGAUUACAGGUGUGAGCCACUGUGUCUGGCCCACUUUACUGAACUUCACAGAUGAUGAGAGUUUUCUCUUUCUUUUUUUUUUUUAAAACGUAUUGAAGGUUUAUGGCAACCCUGCAUCAAGCAAGUCUGUUAGCACCAUUUUUCCAACAGCAUUUGCUCACUUCAUGUCUCUGUGUCACAUUUUGGUAAUUUUCAUAAUAUAUAAAAAUUUUUCAUUACAGGCUGGGUGUAGUGGCUCACACCUGUAAUCCUAGCACUUUGGGAGGCCAAGGCAGGCGGAUCUCCUGAAGUCAGGAGCUCAAGACCAGCCUAGCCAACAUGGCGAAACCCCAUCUCUACCAAAAAUACAAAAUUAGCUGGGUGUGGUGACACACGCCUGUAAUCCCAGCUACUUGGGAGUCUGAGGCAGGAGAAUCGCUUGAACCCAGAAGGCGGAGG
ensembl:lncRNA TUBA1B-AS1 TUBA1B antisense RNA 1